AUGCGAGCGUUAUCCGGAUUUAUUGGGUUUAAAGGGCGCGUAGGCGGGACGUCAAGUCAGCGGUAAAAGACUGCAGCUAAACUGUAGCACGCCGUUGAAACUGUCGACCUGGAGACGAGACGAGGGAGGCGGAACAAGUGAAGUAGCGGUGAAAUGCAUAGAUAUCACUUGGAACCCCGAUAGCGAAGGCAGCUUCCCAGGCUCGAUCUGACGCUGAUGCGCGAGAGCGUGGGUAGCGAACAGGAUUAGAUACCCUGGUAGUCCACGCCGUAAACGAUGCUCACUGGAUCUUGGCGAUACACGGCCAGGGUUCAAGCGAAAGUAUUAAGUGAGCCACCUGGGGAGUACGUCGGCAACGAUGAAACUCAAAGGAAUUGACGGGGGCCCGCACAAGCGGAGGAACAUGUGGUUUAAUUCGAUGAUACGCGAGGAACCUUACCCGGGUUUAAAUGCAGGUUGCAUGAGGUGGAAACACCUCUUUCCCUCGGGACUACCUGCAAGGUGCUGCAUGGUUGUCGUCAGCUCGUGCCGUGAGGUGUCGGGUUAAGUCCCAUAACGAGCGCAACCCCUAUCGCCAGUUGCCAUCGGUUCAAGCCGGGCACUCUGUCGAGACUGCCACCGUAAGGUGCGAGGAAGGCGGGGAUGACGUCAAAUCAGCACGGCCCUUACACCCGGGGCGACACACGUGUUACAAUGGCCGGUACAGAGGGCAGCCACGGGGCGACCCGGAGCGAAUCUCUAAAGCCGGUCGUAGUUCGGACUGGAGUCUGCAACCCGACUCCACGAAGCUGGAUUCGCUAGUAAUCGCGCAUCAGCCAUGGCGCGGU
rnacentral:rRNA from 1 species